AGCAGGAUAUGCAGGAUAUUCGGGAACUUCUUCUGAAAGAGAGGCAAAACAAGCAAGGAAAUUGAGCGUGAGCAGGCAGCAGGGAAUGAGGUGGAGAUGGCGGAAACAGACAGAAAGUUAAAGUGUAAUAGCAGCAGAGUUAGCCACAGAAGCCAAGGAGAAGGACAGAUGAGAACAGCAGGCCAGUGGAGCACUUUGAACAGCAGCAGCCAGGGGCAACUGAUAACAGCCUAUCCAACAACUGAUAGAGUAACGCGCUUGGCCCUAACCGCUGCUCCAUAAUUGCUGGCCGUCAACUUCCCUCUCCUCGUGGUGUGCCAGUUUGGGUUGGUGCGCUUUCCAACUGUUGCCUGCCGUUUAACAUCCUUCCUCUUGGCAGGUCUCUAUAGGUGACCAGAGGAUUCUCUACCACAUGGGAAUGCCUCCGUGGUGCUGUUGUUAGAGCAGCAGGAGGUUAACCUGUUAUGGCUGCCAUCCCAUUAAGUACCACGUGCCUUUCAAUGCAUGACUUUGAACACCUUGAAAUGCAUUUGUUGUAAGAAAUGUGCUAUAUAAAUACAUUUUGAAUUGAUUGAUGACAUUA